rnacentral:rRNA from 1 species
UACGUAGGUGGCAAGCGUUGUCCGGAUUUACUGGGCGUAAAGAGCGCGCAGGCGGUCGUUCAAGUCGCGUGUGAAAGCCCCCGGCUCAACUGGGGAGGGUCACGCGAUACUGAUCGACUCGAAGGCAGGAGAGGGUAGUGGAAUUCCCGGUGUAGUGGUGAAAUGCGUAGAUAUCGGGAGGAACACCGGUGGCGAAGGCGGCAUCCUGGACCGGCAUUGACGCUGAGGCGCGAAAGCUAGGGGAGCAAACGGG